rnacentral:rRNA from 1 species
UUGAACGCUGGCGGCAGGCCUAACACAUGCAAGUCGAGCGGUAGCACAGAGAGCUUGCUCUCGGGUGACGAGCGGCGGACGGGUGAGUAAUGUCUGGGAAACUGCCUGAUGGAGGGGGAUAACUACUGGAAACGGUAGCUAAUACCGCAUAAUGUCGCAAGACCAAAGUGGGGGACCUUCGGGCCUCAUGCCAUCAGAUGUGCCCAGAUGGGAUUAGCUAGUAGGUGGGGUAACGGCUCACCUAGGCGACGAUCCCUAGCUGGUCUGAGAGGAUGACCAGCCACACUGGAACUGAGACACGGUCCAGACUCCUACGGGAGGCAGCAGUGGGGAAUAUUGCACAAUGGGCGCAAGCCUGAUGCAGCCAUGCCGCGUGUGUGAAGAAGGCCUUCGGGUUGUAAAGCACUUUCAGCGGGGAGGAAGGCGGUGAGGUUAAUAACCUCAUCGAUUGACGUUACCCGCAGAAGAAGCACCGGCUAACUCCGUGCCAGCAGCCGCGGUAAUACGGAGGGUGCAAGCGUUAAUCGGAAUUACUGGGCGUAAAGCGCACGCAGGCGGUCUGUCAAGUCGGAUGUGAAAUCCCCGGGCUCAACCUGGGAACUGCAUUCGAAACUGGCAGGCUAGAGUCUUGUAGAGGGGGGUAGAAUUCCAGGUGUAGCGGUGAAAUGCGUAGAUAUUAGGAGGAACACCAGUGGCGAAGGCGGCCAACUGGGCUUUUACUGACGCUGAGGCUCGAAAGUGUGGGGAGCAAACAGGAUUAGAUACCCUGGUAGUCCACGCCGUAAACGAUGUCGAUUUGGAGGUUGUGCCCUUGAGGCGUGGCUUCCGGAGCUAACGCGUUAAAUCGACCGCCUGGGGAGUACGGCCGCAAGGUUAAAACUCAAAUGAAUUGACGGGGGCCCGCACAAGCGGUGGAGCAUGUGGUUUAAUUCGAUGCAACGCGAAGAACCUUACCUGGUCUUGACAUCCACAGAACUUUCCAGAGAUGGAUUGGUGCCUUCGGGAACUGUGAGACAGGUGCUGCAUGGCUGUCGUCAGCUCGUGUUGUGAAAUGUUGGGUUAAGUCCCGCAACGAGCGCAACCCUUAUCCUUUGUUGCCAGCGGUUAGGCCGGGAACUCAAAGGAGACUGCCAGUGAUAAACUGGAGGAAGGUGGGGAUGACGUCAAGUCAUCAUGGCCCUUACGACCAGGGCUACACACGUGCUACAAUGGCAUAUACAAAGAGAAGCGACCUCGCGAGAGCAAGCGGACCUCAUAAAGUAUGUCGUAGUCCGGAUUGGAGUCUGCAACUCGACUCCAUGAAGUCGGAAUCGCUAGUAAUCGUAGAUCAGAAUGCUACGGUGAAUACGUUCCCGGGCCUUGUACACACCGCCCGUCACACCAUGGGAGUGGGUUGCAAAAGAAGUAGGUAGCUUAACCUUCGGGAGGGCGCUUACCACUUUGUGAUUCAUGACUGGGGUG